rnacentral:lncRNA from 1 species
CUCCCUCAUUAAUAAGCAGAAUCACUCUGGGAGAGGGAGCAGCAUGAGUACGGAGGGCUGUGCGGGCGGAUGUGGCCUAAGGUUACGGACAGUUAGACUUCCAAACUGGAGAUAUGGCGGGAGAGAAGGUGGAUGUGAAGAAUUUGGGAGAAUUUAAAUGGACUUCUUUAGGGUGGUGUUUUCUUUUGCAGUAUAAAGGGGAAAGUGCAGGACCUGUAUUUGUGCUUUCUUGGAUGUGCAUGAAGAAAGUGGCGGCAUUUCCAAGGACUGCAUGUCUGGUAUAUGCUGCCCUGCAGACAGCUGGACAGGGGACGUGGAGGUAGGCUUUGCCACAGUUGUUUUUAUUUCUGGCUUUAAGCUCUAGUGCCGUCUUCCCUUCCCUUCUUCCUCUCCAGGCUGAUGCCAGGCCCCUCGGUAGUCUUUGGGGACACAAAGCCUCUGAGACACAGAUCUUCACGGUGUUAGUGGAGGAGGCCGGAAUCUACAGGAAAGCUGGAGAGGUCCUGUGAUAAAUGCUGCACAGCCUGGGAAGGGAAGGCAGGGGCAGGGCAGCGACCUGUCUCUCUGAGGGCAUAAGAGGUGCCAGGCUUAGCCAUCCUACGCCAGACUUCUGCUUAUUUCACUCUUCCGGUGCGAAACUUCCAAAGGCUUUCUGCAGCCUGCAGAGCACGCAGCAAGCUCUGAGGUCCAGCGUGCAAACCUCCUGGGCUGACAUCUUGCGGCCCACCGUGGCUGUCCGCCUCUGCGUCCUCCCUCCAGUCCCACCAUCCUCAGGAUGGCUGGCCCCUUCGCCAUCCUCCACACUGUGCUUUUCCCCUGUGAACUUCAAGGUUCAAAAGGGCUGUGGAUAAAUUAUUGAUGGGAUAAAAAAGGAGGAAAUGGGGCCAGGGAUUUAGCUCAGUGGUUCUGCCUCCUGCCUCGCAAGUGCAAGGACCUGAGUUCGAUCCCCGGUACCCCCCCUCCAAAAAAAAAGAAAGAAAGGAGGAGAUGGAACCAUAUUUCAGAGCGGCGCAGCGAUGUCUUUCGUGAUGUAUUAAUAUAUUCACGCAGUCAUAUAUUUUGUACUGGCACUGUUCAGAAGACACAGUGGUUCACUGGAGCUCACUGUUUAAUAGCUGGGCCACAGUGAUCUAGAGCUAUGAGCACCAGGCUACCUGCUCUUUUUUGUUUGCUCAAACAAAUCCACAGCCACAUGUCUAAUCCUGGUGCAAAUAUAUCUAUGGACUGACUGGCUAUUUCCCUUUUUGCCCCGGCUCCUGGGAAGCUCAGAGGCAAAUUUGAUUUCCAAUCACAGGACAGAACAUUUGAUCGUUGAGAUGUUCACACAUAAAAAUGCCAAGUGUGUUCUCAGAGCUACAUGAGACAAAACCAUAUCACCCGAGUUCUUGUCCUUAGAGAUACAACUAGUAUGUCUUCUAUUCAGGUUAUUUGCAUUAUCUGUUUUCCUCACUCUUGCAAGGC